rnacentral:rRNA from 1 species
GACGUAGGGCGCGAGCGUUGUCCGGAUUUAUUGGGCGUAAAGAGCUCGUAGGCGGCUUGUCGCGUCGACUGUGAAAUCCCGUGGCUUAACUGCGGGUCUGCAGUCGAUACGGGCAGGCUAGAGUUCGGUAGGGGAGACUGGAAUUCCUGGUGUAGCGGUGAAAUGCGCAGAUAUCAGGAGGAACACCGGUGGCGAAGGCGGGUCUCUGGGCCGAUACUGACGCUGAGGAGCGAAAGCGUGGGGAGCGAACAGG